rnacentral:rRNA from 1 species
UACGGGGGGGGCAAGCGUUGUUCGGAAUUACUGGGCGUAAAGGGCUCGUAGGCGGCCAACUAAGUCACACGUGAAAUCCCUCGGCUCAACCGGGGAACUGCGUGUGAGACUGGAUGGCUUGAGUUUGGGAGAGGAAUGCGGAAUUCCAGGUGUAGCGGUGAAAUGCGUAGAUAUCGUAAGGAAGACCAGUGGCGAAGGCGGGUCUCUGGACAGUUCCUGACGCUGAGGCACGAAGGCCAGGGGAGCAAACGGG